CUAAGGAAAUCUUUCUGUUUUCAAAUAUUAGGGUUUUUUUUUAAUUGCGGUUAAAGGAUUUUGGACAUGCUUUGUAAAUUGUUAGUAAAAGGACCUGUUUUCCAUCUGUAUUCUAAGUUAUUUUUUUUCCUUCUUUUUAAAUUUUUCAGGUCAGCCCUUCAUAAACCCAGAUGGGAGUCCAGUUGUGUAUAAUCCUCCUAUGACUCAACAACCAGUUAGACCCCAAGUGCCUGGACCUCCACAGCCACCUCUGCCAGCCCCACCUCAACAACCAGCAGCUAAUCACAUCUUCUCACAGCAGGAUAACCUUGGGUCUCAGUUUAGCCACAUGAGUCUUGCUCGCCAGCCAUCUGCUGAUGGUUCUGACCCUCAUGCCGCCAUGUUCCAGUCCACUGUGGUUCUUCAGUCUCCACAGCAGUCUGGGUAUAUCAUGACAGCAGCCCCUCCACCACAUCCGCCUCCACCGCCACCACCACCACCUCCUCCUCCUCCCCUACCACCUGGGCAGCCAGUCCCUACUGCUGGAUAUCCUGCCUCUGGUCAUCCUGUCAGCCAGCCUGUGCUCCAGCAGCAGGGAUAUAUUCAGCAGC
rnacentral:sRNA from 1 species